rnacentral:rRNA from 1 species
CCUACGGGGGGCUGCAGUAGGGAAUCUUCCGCAAUGGACGAAAGUCUGACGGAGCAACGCCGCGUGAGCGAAGAAGGCCUUCGGGUCGUAAAGCUCUGUUGUUAGGGAAGAACAAGUGUCGGAGUAACUGCCGGCACCUUGACGGUACCUAACCAGAAAGCCACGGCUAACUACGUGCCAGCAGCCGCGGUAAUACGUAGGUGGCAAGCGUUGUCCGGAAUUAUUGGGCGUAAAGCGCGCGCAGGCGGUCUUUUAAGUCUGAUGUGAAAGCCCCCGGCUCAACCGGGGAGGGUCAUUGGAAACUGGAGGACUUGAGUGCAGAAGAGAAGAGCGGAAUUCCACGUGUAGCGGUGAAAUGCGUAGAGAUGUGGAGGAACACCAGUGGCGAAGGCGGCUCUUUGGUCUGUAACUGACGCUGAGGCGCGAAAGCGUGGGGAGCAAACAGGAUUAGAUACCCUAGUAGUC